GGCGCUAUAGCCAAGUGGUUACGGCGACAGAUUAGAAUCCUCUUGUUGUUGAAGGACUAUUUGAUCUGUUCCUCUUUGAGGGCGCAGGUUCGAAUCCUGCUGGCGUCG